CCUACGGGCGGCUGCAGUAAGGAAUAUUGGUCAAUGGAGGAAACUCUGAACCAGCCAUCCCGCGUGAAGGAUGAAGGGGCUCUGCCUUGUAAACUUCUUUUGUCUGGGGCGAAAAAGCUCGAUUUAUCGAGAACUGACGGUACCAGAAGAAUAAGCACCGGCUAACUCCGUGCCAGCAGCCGCGGUAAUACGGAGGGUGCCAGCGUUAUUGGGUAUCACGGGGGUGAAAGGGGGCGUAGACGGCAUAGUAGAAAGGCUGUGGCUUAACCAUGGAAUUGCCAUUGAUACUGCAGAGCUGGAAUGAGGUUGAGGUUGGCGGAAUGUGACAUGUAGCGGUGAAAUGCUUAGAUAUGUCAUGGAACACCGAUUGCGAAGGCAGCUGACUGGACCUAUAUUGACGCUGAGGCACGAAAGCGUGGGGAGCGAACAGGAUUAGAUACCCAAGUAGUC
rnacentral:rRNA from 1 species